ACGGAAGGCAGCAGUCGGGAAUAUUGCUCAAUGGAGGCAACUCUGACGCAGUGACGCCGCGUGCAGGAAGAAGGCUUUCGGAUUGUAAACUGCUUUAGACAGGGAAGAAAAAAAUGACAGUACCUGUAGAAUAAGCUCCGGCUAACUACGUGCCAGCAGCCGCGGUAAUACGUAGGGAGCAGGCGUUAUCCGGAUUUAUUGGGUGUAAAGGGUGCGUAGACGGGAAAUUAAGUUAGUUGUGAAAUCCCACGGCUCAACUGUGGAGCUGCAACGAAAACUGGUUCUCUUGAGUACUGGAGAGGAAGGUGGAAUUCCUAGUGUAGCGGUGAAAUGCGUAGAUAUUAGGAGGAACACCAGUGGCGAAGGCAACUUUCUGGACAGAAACUGACGUUGAGGCACGAAAGUGUGGGGAGCAAACAGGAUUAGAUACCCUGGUA
rnacentral:rRNA from 1 species